rnacentral:rRNA from 1 species
UUGAUCCUGGCUCAGAAUCAACGCUGGCGGCGUGCCUAACACAUGCAAGUCGAACGAGAAAGUGGAGCAAUCCAUGAGUAAAGUGGCGACCGGGUGAGUUACACGUGACUAACCUACCUUCGAGUGGGGGAUAACCUCGGGAAACCGGGUCUAAUACCGCAUAAUAUCUUCGGGAUGAGAAGCCGAAGAUCAAAGGAGCUAUUCACUGGAAGAGGGAGUCGCGGCUGAUUAGCUAGUUGGCGGGGUAAUUGCCCACCAAGGCUUUGAUCGGUAGCCGGCCUGAGAGGGCGCACGGCCACUCUGGAACUGAAACACGGUCCACACUCCUACGGGAGGCAGCAGUGGGGAAUUUUGCGCAAUGGGGGAAACCCCGACGCAGCAACGCCGCGUGGAGGAUGAUGUCCCUUGGGACGUAAACUCCUUUCGACCCGGACGGUAAUGACGGUACGUAUGGAAGAAGCCCCGGCUAACUUCAUGCCAGCAGCCGCGGUAAUAAGGU